CUCGAUCCGUCCCGCGCUCAAUCUCCAUCUCUCUCUCUGUCUCUCAACUCCCUCUCCUUCUCUCACCCUCUCGUUCUUUUCUAGGGGACCACGUGGUCGAAAAAACGCUUAAAAGGAGAGCACUCGCAGUGCACCACCCUUUUCCUGCACCGGUCGGCCUGCCUGGUCACGGCCGGACUGGACUACGUGCAUGGUGCGUGCUCCAGUCCGGCGGUGGCCGGGCUUUGCACUUCACCACAUUGUGAAGACUGGGCCGGCUAACGGACAUUUCCGUUUCCUACACGCACAAGCAUCUGAGCAACGCACCCGUAUGCUCUCCCCCUGGGGUGCAGAUCGACACGCAAUUAGGAGGACCUACUUUCAUCGACGCCCCCCAUCCAAGGGAAGAUAGCUAAACCUGUCUCAAGCACCCAGAUUGCCAAGCGGGGGACCAUUGGCUUGCCGACUCUACCCCGCCUGAGGCUGCCUUCGAUGGUCUACAGGGGUCUUUGUCCCAGUGCUUCUGCUCUACGCUUUCCACUACCUGCAAUGGACGAGACCUUUUUUUUCUCUCUAGAAGACCUACGUAACGAUAACUGCGAGCUCCGUGUCGAUUUCUGGUUUCUCCAGGGGGACGAAGAUUGCAAGCAAUUUUACAUUUCAAGAA